rnacentral:rRNA from 1 species
GUAGGGAAACUUACGCUAAUACCGCAUACGACCUACGGGUGAAAGCAGGGGAUCUUCGGACCUUGCGCGAUUGAAUGAGCCGAUGUCGGAUUAGCUAGUUGGCGGGGUAAAGGCCCACCAAGGCGACGAUCCGUAGCUGGUCUGAGAGGAUGAUCAGCCACACUGGAACUGAGACACGGUCCAGACUCCUACGGGAGGCAGCAGUGGGGAAUAUUGGACAAUGGGCGCAAGCCUGAUCCAGCCAUACCGCGUGGGUGAAGAAGGCCUUCGGGUUGUAAAGCCCUUUUGUUGGGAAAGAAAUCCAGCUGGCUAAUACCCGGUUGGGAUGACGGUACCCAAAGAAUAAGCACCGGCUAACUUCGUGCCAGCAGCCGCGGUAAUACGAAGGGUGCAAGCGUUACUCGGAAUUACUGGGCGUAAAGCGUGCGUAGGUGGUCGUUUAAGUCCGUUGUGAAAGCCCUGGGCUCAACCUGGGAACUGCAGUGGAUACUGGGCGACUAGAGUGUGGUAGAGGGUAGCGGAAUUCCUGGUGUAGCAGUGAAAUGCGUAGAGAUCAGGAGGAACAUCCAUGGCGAAGGCAGCUACCUGGACCAACACUGACACUGAGGCACGAAAGCG